GCGUAAGCGCGCGUAGGCGGUUACUCAAGUUCAGAGGUGAAAGCCCGGGGCUCAACCCCGGAACUGCCUUUGAAACUAGGUGACUAGAAUCUUGGAGAGGUCAGUGGAAUUCCGAGUGUAGAGGUGAAAUUCGUAGAUAUUCGGAAGAACACCAGUGGCGAAGGCGACUGACUGGACAAGUAUUGACGCUGAGGUGCGAAAGCGUGGGGAGCAAACAGGAUUAGAUACCCGUGGUAGUCCAA
rnacentral:rRNA from 1 species